GAUGAGCCCAAGUGGGAUUAGGUAGUUGGUGGGGUAAAGGCCUACCAAGCCGACGAUCUCUAGCUGGUCUGAGAGGAUGACCAGCCACACCGGGACUGAGACACGGCCCGGACUCCUACGGGAGGCAGCAGUGGGGAAUAUUGCGCAAUGGGGGCAACCCUGACGCAGCCAUGCCGCGUGAAUGAAGAAGGCCUUCGGGUUGUAAAGUUCUUUCGGUGACGAGGAAGGCGUGAUGUUUAAUAGGCAUCACGAUUGACGUUAAUCACAGAAGAAGCACCGGCUAACUCCGUGCCAGCAGCCGCGGUAAUACGGAGGGUGCGAGCGUUAAUCGGAAUAACUGGGCGUAAAGGGCACGCAGGCGGCUAUUUAAGUGAGGUGUGAAAGCCCCGGGCUUAACCUGGGAAUUGCAUUUCAUACUGGGUCGCUAGAGUACUUUAGGGAGGGGUAGAAUUCCACGUGUAGCGGUGAAAUGCGUAGAGAUGUGGAGGAAUACCGAAGGCGAAGGCAGCCCCUUGGGAAUGUACUGACGCUCAUGUGCGAAAGCGUGGGGAGCAAACAGGAUUAGAUACCCUGGUAGUCCACGCUGUAAACGAUGUCGAUUUGGGGGUUGAGCUUUGAGUUUGGCGCCCGUAGCUAAACGUGAUAAAUCGACCCGCCCUGG
rnacentral:rRNA from 1 species